UGCCAUCCUCCUGCUCUGGCCUCCUGAGUUGCAGGGAUCCCGGGCCUGCGCCCUGCGCCCCACUCGGGCAGGGUUUCUGUUGUCUGUUUGCAGCUGGGAGCCUGAACCCAGAGCCAAGCCUCAGGGCUGCGGGGGAGUACUCCACCACUGAGCCACAGCCCCAGUUCUUCAGGCAGAGGUUUCGUACCACUCGGGAUUUAAUCUAGGUUAAAAGGAGACCCCUCGCUGAGCUGGGUGGUGCAAGCCUGGAAUCCCAGCAACUCAGGAGGCUGAGUCAGGAGGAUUGCAAGUUUGGCCCAGUCUCCGCAACUUAGUGAGCACCUGUCUCAAAAUUAAAAAACAAAGAAAACAAGAAAAGAAAGGAAUUGGGAUGUGGCUCAGUGGUGAGUUCAAAUCCUAGAGCCCGAGCAAAACAAAACAAACCCCAAAAGUCUUGGCCUGCCCUUCCUGGCCAGGUGGCCCUGGCCACGCACUUCAACGUCUGUGCCCUGGCUCCUCAUCCUUGUGUGAGGACCAAAGGUCCACGCAUGGCCGGGACGUGACCUCAUGUCACUCGGGGAGGCUCCUCUUGAUCUGCUCUGCUGCGGGCCCACACCUGGUCUCAUGGAUGAAUCUGGACAGCGGAGGUGGCCCGCUCAGGACCACACAGCCAGGAGAAGGCCGAGUCAAGACGCACGGCCCCAAAGUCCAGAGCCCACAGACUCACACUCAUCUGCAAAAUAUGCAAGGUGCAGACCCCUGGGCAGAGGCCUGGGGGCACAGAGGCCCGGGGCCAGUCAGCAGACCCUGCCGUGGUCAGAGGGGAUGUUCGUCCAGCCAGAGGGUGUGAAGUGCACUGCCCCAGGGCUGCUCUGGGGGCCGGUCCUUCCUGGAGCCCCACAGCUGCCCUGUUCCCCACGCCCAGGAGGGUCAGGUGACGGCAGCGCCUGCAGGUGCAGGGCAGGUGGUCCAGGGACCGAGCGGAGGCAGUCGGGCACGGGGGCGGCCGGGAGAGGAGAGUGGGCUUCACCAGGGAAACAGGAGGCCUGCAGUUUGCUGGGAAUCUUGUGGCUGAGGACACUGUCAAACCCCGAGGGGUCGAGCCAGCCUUCUCUGACCCUCGGAGCUGGCUUGGUCCUUGGCCUCCCGUCCAGGGUUUCUGCUGGUCAGUGGGGUCACAGGUUGGUGCGUGCCAUGUUCCUAGAGGAGUCCCAAGGCCCCCGCCUGUGUUCACUUCCCCCCUGGCCAGGCCUGGUGAGGAGCUGGGCCUGCCCAGGCAGGGACUGUCCUGUCUGCACCCUCCCGUCUCCUGUGUCUCCAGGAUCUCUCUGGACGAGACGCCCCGACAGUGUCUGGGCCCCUGCCAGCCCCAGCCCAGCGGCCCGGGCUCCCUGGCUGGAGCAGCUGGGUGUGAGGGUCGGCGAGAGGGUCUCCGAGGGAGGCCGGUUCUGGCAGCCAGGGCCGCGUGGAGGGCUUCCCGGAGGAGGGGUCCUGGAAACAGGUCCAUAGCUGACGUCUUGGGAGUCAGAAUCCCAGACCCCCACGGGGGCAUGACUGUGUCAUCUCUGUCAUUUCUGUGUCCCCAGUUUCCAGAUACACAGGAAUAUGGAGAGCAGGCUCUGCCUGCUGGGGUUUUCCAUUUCAAAAGUAUAUAAAGUAGCCAUUUGCCCUAAACUACUCUUUUUUUUUUUUUUUUGUACUGGGGAUUGAACCCAGAGGAUUUCCCACUGAGCCAUGUUCCAUUCCUUUUUACUUUUUAUUUUAAGGCUGUCAUUAAGUCGGUCAGGGUCUCCCUCAAUUGCUGACUGUGGCUUCGAACUCGGCAUCCUCCUGCCUCGGCCUCCCAAACUGCUAGGAUCACGCAGUGCGCCCUGUCAGCUGACCUGUUUUGAGCCCCAGUGCUCAGGCGGAAGGAGUGGUGACGUGUCCAGGCACAGAUCGCCACCAGGUUCGACACCCAGGACUUCUUGGAGAGAAGAGCCCGCCUGCCCAGCACAAUGUCAGGCACCGUGGAUAAAUGGACCAAUCACGUCGGGACAGUGGCCACCUGAACUUCUCAGAGGAGAUCAGAGGCACGUGGUGGCGGGCGUGCUGCGGACACGGCAGCCCACGGGCGACCCACCCUCCCCCAGAACAUGUAAAGGGAGGCACCUGGGACUGCGGUCAGUGGCACGCUGACCCAGCCUCUUAUCAGACCAUCCAGCAAGCGCGUCACAGAGUGACAGGCCACCAACUCCUGACUCUGUCCCCGGGGCUCCAGCCCAGCUCUAUCUCCCUGACUGACGUGGCCCGUUUCGAAACUGCCUGCUGUCCAGCUUGGUGGCUUGUCGCCCAGCUGACCACCUGCGGGGACCCUGUGUUUGUGGCCCUCCCUGCUCCCGGCAGUGUCCCCCACUGUGGCAUGCGCUGGGGGAUCCCAGGGCUUGCACCUGCUGGGCGAUGCGCUCCCACUGAGCCACACCCCAGCCCUUGUUGUUUUAGGUAGGUUCUUGGUAGGUUGCCGAGGCUGGCCUUGAACCUGUGAGCCUCCUGCCUGGGCCUCCAAGUUGCAGAGACGAUAGGUAGGUGUCUGUCUCCCCAGUUGAGAACUGCCUCCUUGGCCACGGUGAGCCCUUUCUUAGACUUUCUGUAACGUCUGUCUGUCUGUCUCACUGUGAAGCAUGGCGUGGGACUUGGCGGUAUGGGUCUUGGUGAUUAAGAUUGAAGGAUAAAGGAACCUGUGAUGGCCCUGAUCAUGGCUGCCAGGUGAGCCAGGGGUACUCGGUGAAUUAUUGCUGAUGAAAGUGGCACAGCGGGUGAGUUUCAUUGUCGUUCACAACUGAAAUCACGGAAAGACACAGAUACAUCGGAUCUAGCUGAGGGCGUGGCUCACUCAACACUGAGGUCAUGAGAGAGCAGCCGACAGGAGCUGAGAGAGCCCAUGUGCCAGCAGGGCGCUGUGCACGACCCUGUAAGGUAGGUGUUACGUCAUCUCCCAUUUUAUAUAUGAGGAAACUGAGAGACAGAGAGGUUAAGUAUUUUGCCCAAGGCUGCACAGCCAGCAAGUGACUACUGGUGUUGAAACCCAAGCCUGUCCGUAGAGCUUAGUGCGCAUCACUUCUUGGAAGAUUUAACGUGCCCUUUCCAUGGGGUAGUGGGGAGUCACAAAAGUUAGGCUUAUUUUUUUUCUGCUCUCUCUGUCCAUCUACUUUGGCCUGGCAAUUAGUAGGUGCUCAAUAAGAAUCUGAAUAAAUUUGCAAAAGUCCUGACAAGUUACUUUUCUCUGAGCCUGUAUCCUCUUCAGUGCAAUAGGCCCAGGGCAAGUACUGACCUCACUGGGCUGUUUGGACACAAAAAUGAAAGAAUGGGCUGUGGGGAGGCUGCUGUGGCUGAGAGGAAGAAGCUGAAGUCUGCCAGAGCUGGGUGCAAGUCUAAGAGGCCUACUUUCCUUUCCAGCUGUGUGGUCUCAGACCAGUGUCUCGCCCUCUCUGACCCUCUCUGUGAGGUAGGGUAGUUUGGAUGCUGGGAAUCUGAAUUCCCCCAGGCUCCCAUCUGGGGGGCAGUGACUAGCCUUGGUGCCUCCUUGCUCUGAAUCUCAGGGGCACUGAAGGCUCUGGGGCUCUGGGCCGGCAGCACCCUGCAGGUCUGAGCUCCCACUGGGCUACCCCGUGCCUGCCCCAGGCCAGCGCUGCCACCCAGCUCUGCUGAGCGCCAGCCGGGGCUCCGAGGCCGUGCCACCUGCCUGAGCAGUGGGAAGAGCGCUGAGGCCAGGUCACAGGGGACACUGACCAGGAUGCAGUCCCCCCACUCCGGCUCCGGCUCCGGCUCCAGCUCCCAUUUCCCUCCCUGCCUGGCCUCUGGGCUCGGGGAGAGGCCCAGCAAGGCCUCCAGAGCAGGAGGGGCCGAGGACCCGGCUCCUCCCAGGCCCAGGUUGCAGAAGGGAAGCCGGAGGCCGGUGUCCUCCUGGCUGUGGGCACCCUCCCUGCCCCCCUGCCUUCCCCCUACCCUGCGGCUCCCUCCUUCUCCUCUCAUGGUGACCCCUCCUCCUCCAGGCCUCCCCCCAGCGCUGCUCCUGGGGAGCUCCGCGGGCCAGCCGCAUCCUGUCCUGGCUCACCGCUGUUCGCCUCUGCUGGUGGGUUCUGUGUCCCCCACUGGGAGGUCAGCUCCAGAGGCUGUGUCCUUCUAAUCCAUGCCAUCCCCUGACCUGGUGCAGGGCUCUGCCGGUCCCUGUCUGCUGAGCAUGGGCCUGGCUAAAUGCCUGGCACAUAGUAGGUUUUCAGCAAAGACUGAAGCAGCAUCUACUCCCUAGGGAGAGACCUGUUGGAGAAACAGGAAAAACACAAAUGGGGUUUGAAUCCUGCUUGCUGUGUG
rnacentral:lncRNA from 1 species